rnacentral:lncRNA from 1 species
CGUCUCUUUCGCCCUCCCUUCCCCCUUCUCUCCUCUUUUCCCCCCUCCCCUCUCCUCCCCGCAACCCUUGCCAACAAACGCUUGGACGUGUCCCGCGUGCGACAGCUCCCGAGGCUGGCUCCGGAUUGGACCGAAGAGCGUGUGGUCCGCGAGCGAGGAACUCCCCACUCUCCACUCGGCACCCCCACCCCCGUCCCCUUUCCUCUCACACGCGAUGGCUUUCCUUCUCCCCCCCUCCCCCCUCCCCCAUGGCCCUACCCCCACCUCGAGGCGCGAGCCGCCGCCUGUAGAACUCGAGGAAUCGUGCCGCUCGGCCCGGCGCACCUGGCCUGGAGCCGGGGAGGGGCAGAGGAGGAGGCCGGGCUCUCCCCUCUCUCCUUGGAAAGACCCGCAGAGCGUGGGGGGAGGGAGCGUCCCGGGGUGGGGAACGGGGCCAGGCACCGGGAGGAAUCCUCGCUACGACUAUUUGAUCGGCGGCGCGUGCUGCCUCUGCUCGGCAAGCCGGCGACACCCCGGGACAGCGUGCGAGGCUCGUUUGUGCAGAACUCGGGCAGAAGCUGUCUCCGAGGCGGCUUGAGGUCACCUCGUCCUUUUCAGACCCCCCAUCGCCGCCAGAGCCCCGCGCCCUGCCUCGCGCACACGCACAGCACAGACCCGUGGCCUGCAGAUGUAAGCCCGGAGCCCGGGCAGUGGGGGGGCCGUAACAGCCCCAUUUAAACCGGGGCCCCUCGCUCGUGCCGGCUCCGCAGAGAGGGGGGCACCCCUGGCGUUUCCCGGCGUCGUUUCUCCGACGGGGAUAGUGCUCUCACGGAGGGGGGGGGGGGGGGGGGGGGGGCUGCAAAGUAAACAUGCUCGCGGCUUCCUGGGAAGGCUGUGGACUCGGGCUUCACGGGGCUGACGUGUAUGUGUGCUCUUAAUUGGCCCGCUCGUUCCUGAUCUGUGCAUGAAGCGAGAGCCCUCACCGGCAGCGUGGGUCCCCGGCCGCCCCGGCGGCAUGAGCCGUGCCCCGAUAUCCCCGGCCGCUCUCCGCCUGCCUCGUGCGUCCCCAGCAACUCCCUGAGGAACGGGCUCCGGACGGCAAGCCGCCCUUAGACUUCUUCAGCAAGUCUGGCAAGGACCAGACGUCGAUCUGCACUGUUUAACUUUGUUGUAGCUUCAGUCUUGAAUGAGCAAUACUUCAGAAUCUCUAAGGCGAAGGGAAAAAAAAAAAAAAAACUGGGGGAAAAUGUUUUCUGCAUCAUAAAUGAGAGGUGGUAAUAAUGUGUUUUUUCUCAAGUUCCCAAAUUUCUCAUUCUUUCCCUCCAGUUUGAAUAUAGACUUUAAAAGACAGAGUUUAGGGACCCGGGGGAUAUUUGAACACAUUAAAUUGAGAUUUUUAUAAUUAAAAAAAAAUUUUGUUUUGGUUCAGAGGUUUCAAAAAAAAGAUACGUUAAUCCCAAUCAGAAACGAUUACUAUAUUUACGUUCCCACAUUUAGACUUAUUCAUUUAAUGCUGAUAAUUCUGUUUUUUUAUGUUAUCACACAUGUAAUUGUGUCCAUUUAUUCAGAUGAUAUGCCUUCUCCCUCCGAGAUGCUUCUUCAUAGUCCCAUGGAUUCUCCGCAGAAGAUCUUGCAUUUUAUGGGUAGUAAUGAAGCAUUCAGGCAGUCUAUUUGUUAUUCUUUAGUCUGGAUACAUGACUAAUCCACCUUUUUUUCCUGACUAUACAUUUGCUCCAUAUUAUCCACAUUUGGAUGUGGGUCAUCAUUGAAAAUAGUCUUCAGAUUGAUCCUCUCCUGAAGGUUAGCCUGGUAGAUGAGGAAAUGUUUGGCCACAAAAAGGCCUAGCAUGUUAAUCCUUUUAUGUGACUGUGAGAUAAAUUUUAAAGAUUUGGAAUCAUAGUACUGAUCUUCAAGAUCACAUGGUUCGCCAUUUUGCAGAUUAGAAAAUCAAGGCUCCAUCAGAGUCCUGUUCAUCUUAGAAAAAAGCAAAUCCUACAACUUGUAUGUUUGUUAUUGCUAUUAUUAUUUUUCAUUGCGAUCACUGUGUUUCAAUAAAGCUGCUCUUUUGUAAUCCUAUUUGAUUUAACUGAAUGGAUGUCCAUCAGUUGGAGAAUGGCUGAAUAAAUUGUGGUAUAUGAAUAUUAUGGAAUAUUACUGUUCUGUAAGAAAUGACCAACAGGAUGAUUUCAGAAAGGCCUGGAGAGACUUACACGAACUGAUGCUGAGUGAAAUGAGCAGGACCAGGAGAUCAUUAUAUACUUCAACAACAAUACUAUAUGAUGACCAGUUCUGAUGGACCAGGCCAUCCUCAGCAACGAGAUCAACCAAAUCAUUUCCAAUGGAGCAGUAAUGAACUGAACUAGCUAUGCCCAGAAAAAGAACUCUGGGAG